rnacentral:rRNA from 1 species
GACGAACGCUGGCGGCGUGCUUAACACAUGCAAGUCGAACGGAAAGGCCCUGCUUUUGUUGGUUGCUCGAGUGGCGAACGGGUGAGUAACACGUGAGUAACCUGCCCUUGACUUUGGGAUAACUUCAGGAAACUGGGGCUAAUACCGGAUAUGAGCUCCUGCUGCAUGGUGGUGGUUGGAAAGUUUCGGCGGUUGGUGAUGGACUCGCGGCUUAUCAGCUUGUUGGUGGGGUAGUGGCUUACCAAGGCUUUGACGGGUAGCCGGCCUGAGAGGGUGACCGGCCACAUUGGGACUGAGAGACGGCCCAGACUCCUACGGGAGGCAGCAGUGGGGAAUAUUGCACAGUGGGCGGAAGCCUGAUGCAGCAACGCCGCGUGCGGGAUGACGGCCUUCGGGUUGUAAACCGAUUUCGCCUGUGACGAAGCGUGAGUGACGGUAAUGGGUAAAGAAGCACCGGCUAACUACGUG